UGGGGAAUAUUGGACAAUGGGGGGAACCCUGAUCCAGCCAUGCCGCGUGUGUGAAGAAGGCCUUAUGGUUGUAAAGCACUUUAAGCGAGGAGGAGGGUACUGGUAUUAAUACUACCAGGUACUGGACGUUACUCGCAGAAUAAGCACUGGCUAACUCUGUGCCAGCAGCCGCGGUAAUACAGAGGGUGCGAGCGUUAAUCGGAUUUACUGGGCGUAAAGCGUGCGUAGGCGGCUAAUUGAGUCGGAUGUGAAAUCCCCGAGCUUAACUUGGGAAUUGCAGUCGAUACUGGUUAGCUAGGGUGUGGGAGAGGAUGGUAGAAUUCCAGGUGUAGCGGUGAAAUGCGUAGAGAUCUGGAGGAAUACCGAUGGCGAAGGCAGCCAUCUGGCCUAACACUGACGCUGAGGUACGAAAGCAUGGGGAGCAAACAGG
rnacentral:rRNA from 1 species